GGAUUGUGAUAUGGACCUCCCUCCCUCCCUCACUCCCUGCCUCCGCGUCUGCCGAUAAGAGCAAUGUGAUUUAUUAUUUUAGGGUGUGUGUGUGAAGUAGGGAGCGAUGGAUAAUAUGUGGAGCAGAGAAUUUUUCUUAUCACCGUCGACGUUGUGGAGUGGAUACACCCUUGCUGUUGUAACCCUAAUAUUUGUGUGGCAGAUCGCCCCCAGAUUCUUCUUGAGGAGGACCUCGGAAUCCAACAAUCCCCUCGUUUCCAUUGCAUCUCCAUCCCAACAAAACGGCAGAAUAUCAGAUGUCAUUACUGAUUUGGAUCUUAAACUUCUGAUGGAAAAUCUGGAUGAGCCUCCUCCUGUGCUUCAAAAUAACAAGUGGGAGAGUGUUGUCGAUAAAAGAAAUGAUUCACUCUCUUACUCUGUCAAGUCUUGCAAACCCAAGGAUGGUGGGCCACUCAAGUAUUUAAGUACAACGACAUUCAAUGAUUGUUCUCGUGAGACUUUGAGAGACUUCUACAUGGAUAAUUCUUAUAGGAAGGAGUGGGACAAGACCUUGAUUGACCAUGAGCAGUUGCAGCUGGAUGAGAGUAAUGGAACUGAGUUUGGACGCACAAUAAAAAAAUUUCCCCUCUUGACCCCAAGAGAGUACGUUUUAGCCUGGAGGAUCUGGGAAGGAAGAGAUGGAACCUAUUAUUGUUAUAGUAAGGAAUGUGAGCAUCCUUCAGCUCCAAGACGAAAGAAGUAUGUACGGGUUGGUCUUUUUAGAUCUGGCUGGAGAAUUAGGGAAGUACCUGGUAGAAAUUCAUGUCAGAUCAAAAUGGUUCACCAAGAAGAUGCCGGGUUGAAUGCUGAAAUGGCAAAAAUGAUCUUUGCCAAAGGCAUAUGGAGUUAUGUGUGUAAGAUGGAUAAAGCUCUUCGGAAGUAUUCUGCCGUCAAACGUAUUCAGUUGACUGCAACUGUUAGUGCAAUCACUUUUGUUCAGAAAGUGAGUGCUCUCGUUAAUUUUGAAUGACUUGUGAAAUGUGGCUAGGCGGUGUUUGGGAAUACAUUUACUGAUUGAUUAAGAUUAUUGUGGUUUUCAAAUCAUUUUUGAGUGUUUGGGUGCUUAUCCAAAACUGGCUGUUGGUCAUCUUAAAUCAUUAGAAUUUCCAAACAUCUGAUUGUUGUGACAUUAAUCAAAACAGUAGAAGCACAUCCUUUAGCAGGUCAUUUUGGUACCACUUUCAUUGGAUUCCACUGGCGAGAGGGCUGAUCCAGAAGUCUCGGUCUCUGAAGAGUGCAAUAAGAAAAAACUGUCUAGAAAGCCUUCAAAGAAAGUGAUAGCGAACGGGUUGAUCAUUGCUGGUGGUGUGAUCUGUUUGGCUCGUGGACACACCAACUUCAGUGCAAAGGUUGCAAUGGCAUACAUAUUAAGUAAGUUGACAAAGCGUCGUGAAACUUCUUUGCACUAGGGAGGGGGCAUGUAAAUGCUUUUUAUGGAGAUUUGAUAUGCCAAUACAACCGAAUAACACAAGCCAUGUAAAUUAAAAUCUUAAUUGCUAUUCAAAAGGAAAGGUAGUAAGCUACACUCCUAAGAUUUACUGCUGCUGUAACCAUUAUAAUUGAUAUCCAACUCUCGAAAGAAAGAACGAGGGAAAAAGCAAUUUAAACUUUUGUUUGUUGUCA